CUUGCACUGCAGCAGCUGAGCUAAGGCUGAAGCUGUAUUAAAUCUUGACAUUUUAAGGGAGUAGAAUAAAUAAAAACUUGCUCACUGUUUCAGCACAGGCUGAGCAGAGCCAGCCCUGCUCCUGGAGCCCAGGAAUCUGACUACAAGGGAAGCUGUUACAGGCAAGUCAAUUGGGAAAUAAACCUAAAAGUCAAGCUAAGCAGCAAAAUAUUAGAUCUGCUUGAGAACGAGCCCACUGUGGCAGUGCUGUUUCUGCAAGAGGAGGUUGAUUACAACUGACAUCACGGGGCCUCACAGCCACAAAAGCUCCAGCUUCCAGGGAGUUUCCAUCCUCAUUAUUACAACACUCAUGGCACUGAACUGUGUCAGCACCGGUGUCCCCCGGUCAGCGAGCACCAGCAGGUUCCUGCAGGAAGGUAAAUUAUUCCAACUGCUGAGUCAAGGCAGAGCAGCACGAGGAGAAUGUCACAGAUCAGCCCUGCAGUCCUGGGGAAGAACACCUACAUUUGGAGCUGUUUCUCUUGCCUAAUAAAUGUGAAGAUAUAGAAAA